rnacentral:rRNA from 1 species
UAGGGAAUCUUCCGCAAUGGGCGAAAGCCUGACGGAGCAACGCCGCGUGAGUGAUGAAGGUCUCCGGAUCGUAAAACUCUGUUAUUAGGGAAGAACAAAUGUGUAAGUAACUAUGCACGUCUUGACGGUACCUAAUCAGAAAGCCACGGCUAACUACGUGCCAGCAGCCGCGGUAAUACGUAGGUGGCAAGCGUUAUCCGGAAUUAUUGGGCGUAAAGCGCGCGUAGGCGGUUUUUUAAGUCUGAUGUGAAAGCCCACGGCUCAACCGUGGAGGGUCAUUGGAAACUGGAAAACUUGAGUGCAGAAGAGGAAAGUGGAAUUCCAUGUGUAGCGGUGAAAUGCGCAGAGAUAUGGAGGAACACCAGUGGCGAAGGCGACUUUCUGGUCUGUAACUGACGCUGAUGUGCGAAAGCGUGGGGAUCAAACAGG